GUAAUUUUAAUUCUAAUAGGUUUUAUCCUAUUUCAAAUAAUUCAGACAUAAUGGUUUUAAUAAAGAGUUUUGGUUUGAUUCUUCUGACGGACGAAGUUAAUCAUUCGCCGAAGCAACAGUUUUAAGUUUUGUUUAAUAAACAAGGGUUGGGAUUUCAGCUCUUUGAUUUCUCGCAGAAGCUAAAUUCUCUUUUAAUGAUCCUUCCGCAGGUUCACCUACGGAAA
rnacentral:misc_RNA from 1 species